rnacentral:rRNA from 1 species
AUAGCGUAUAUUAAAGUUGUUGCCGUUAAAAAGCUCGUAGUCGAACUUCGGCCUCUGCCGCCCGGUCCGCCUAUUUGGGUGUGUACUGGAGCGGUGGAGGCUUACCUCGUGGUGAACGGCCAUGCACUUUACUGGGUGUGGUCGGGAACCAUGACUUUUACUGUGAAAAAAUUAGAGUGUUCAAAGCAGGCUUACGCCCGAAUACAUUAGCAUGGAAUAAUAAAAUAGGACGUGCGGUCCUAUUUUGUUGGUUUCUAGGAUCGCCGUAAUGAUUAAUAGGGAUAGUUGGGGGCAUUCUUAUUCAAUUGUCAGAGGUGAAAUUCUUGGAUUGACUCAAGACCAACUAGUG